GACCGAGAUUGUAAUCUCUAGAAAUGUUUUCCGCGUUGGACCGCACACAAGUCUGUUGGAAUACAGCGGCAUAGUGGUGAGACCCCCGUAUAUGGUGCGGACGCCCAGCGCUUUGUGAUACAUUUUCGAAGAGUCGAGUUGUUUGGGAAUGCAGCUCAAAUUGGGUGGUAAAUUCCAUCUAAAGCUAAAUAUUGGCGAGAGACCGAUAGCGAACAAGUACCGUGAGGGAAAGAUGAAAAGCACUUUGGAAAGAGAGUUAACAGUACGUGAAAUUGUUGGAAGGGAAACGCUUGAAGUCAGACUUGCUUGCCGAGCAAUCGGUUUGCAGGCCAGCAUCAGUUUUCCGGGAUGGAUAAUGGUAGAGAGAAGGUAGCAGUUUCGGCUGUGUUAUAGCUCUCUGCUGGAUACAUCUUGGGNGGACUGAGGAACGCAGUGUGCCUUUGGCGGGGGUUUCGACCUCUUCACACUUAGGAUGCUGGUGGAAUGGCUUUAAACGACC
rnacentral:rRNA from 1 species